CUGUUUAUAAUAUUACGGCUUCUUCCUAAUGUUACCAGAUCCAUAUAUAAAGAACGAAAAAGCCCUUGACUUUAAUCUCUAUUCACUCCCCUUUGGCCUUUUCUCCAUCUCUUUUUUUUAUACAUAGUUUAGUUUACUACAUGAUUUACUCUGAAUUUGAAAUCAACAUGUUGAUGAUGAGAAGGGUUAAAUUUAGUCAAUUUGACUUUCUUAGCCCCGGAACAAGUAUCACUCGUCAAAUGAAAUAGGUGUUUCCAUGUCUCAAACCAAUCACAUUGCACAAAACAUAUUUGGGACACCAAAAAUGGGACAGGAUCUCCAUUCUAUCUAUUAGCUUAGAUGCAUGCUUUCAAAUUCUUCUUGGUCUUUUUAAGAUGGGUGGGGGGAUUCAUGUCAAAAGAAAAGUAUACAUAUGGCAAUCGAACGGUUUAGACUUUGAAUUUUAUUUCUCUUUUGUUAUUUGCUACUUGCUAGAACUUACUAUUUGACCUGUUUUUCUAUUUCUCACUGAUAUACACAGGGAAAGUCACUGAAAAGAAAGUGCUGCAUGAUUCAGAUACAUGUCCGAAAUUGUAGUGGAUGGUAUCUUAGAUUAGUGCCUAUAGCUACCUUUUCGGUCCCAACUCCAAUACAGUGUAUAAUUUAAUUUAUAACAAAAUAAGUUAAAAUCAUAAUUUUUAUUUUCGACACAUGUCAUAAUUCC